rnacentral:rRNA from 1 species
UGGAGGAAAGCAGGGGAUCGUAAGACCUUGCGCUUUUGGAGUGGCCGAUGCCUGAUUAGCUAGUUGGUGGGGUAAGAGCCUACCAAGGCGACGAUCAGUAGUUGGUCUGAGAGGACGACCAGCCACACUGGGACUGAGACACGGCCCAGACUCCUACGGGAGGCAGCAGUGGGGAAUUUCGGACAAUGGGCGGAAGCCUGAUCCAGCAAUGCCGCGUGAGUGAAGAAGGCCUUCGGGUUGUAAAGCUCUUUCAGUCGAGAAGAAAAGGUUGCGACUAAUAAUCGCAACUUAUGACGGUAUCGACAGAAGAAGCACCGGCUAACUACGUGCCAGCAGCCGCGGUAAUACGUAGGGUGCGAGCGUUAAUCGGAAUUACUGGGCGUAAAGGGUGCGCAGGCGGCUCUGUAAGUCAGAUGUGA